rnacentral:lncRNA from 1 species
AAUUUCUGCUCCAAAUGUUACAAUGAAGUUUACAUAAAAGGGGGACAACAAAAACCUAUUGAUUCCCUUUUUCCUCCUUCGCAGCUGCCGAUUCCAUCAACCUCAUCGAUACUGGUGCUGCAGGAAUCGACAGCUGCGGAGGAAGAACCUGAGGUUGUGACCGCGGCUGUAACAGUCGCGGUCCAACCGAUUUCUGCACAGCCGAACAGAUGUUCGGCCUGCAGGAAGAAGGUGGGAUUGACAGGGUUCAAGUGCAGAUGUGGGACCACGUUUUGUGGGACCCAUCGGUACCCGGAGAUCCAUGGAUGCUCGUUUGAUUUCAAAUCUAUCGGAAG